UACGGGAGGCAGCAGUGGGGAAUAUUGGACAAUGGGCGAAAGCCUGAUCCAGCCAUGCCGCGUGUGUGAAGAAGGUCUUCGGAUUGUAAAGCACUUUAAGUUGGGAGGAAGGGCAUUAACCUAAUACGUUAGUGUUUUGACGUUACCGACAGAAUAAGCACCGGCUAAUCUCUGUGCCAGCAGCCUCGGUAAU
rnacentral:rRNA from 1 species